GAAUAUUGGGCAAUGGACGGAAGUCUGACCCAGCCAUGCCGCGUGCAGGAAGAAGGCCUUCUGGGUUGUAAACUGCUUUUAUAUAGGAAGAAAACACUCUUGCGAGAGGAACUGACGGUACUAUAUGAAUAAGCACCGGCUAACUCCGUGCCAGCAGCCGCGGUAAUACGGAGGGUGCAAGCGUUGUCCGGAUUUCUUGGGGUUAAAGGGUGCGUAGGCGGCCCUGUAAGUCAGUGGUGAAAGCCUCCAGCUCAACUGGAGAACUGCCAUUGAUACCGCAGGGCUUGAGUACAGACGAGGUUGGCGGAAUUGAUGGUGUAGCGGUGAAAUGCAUAGAUACCAUCAAGAACUCCGAUUGCGUAGGCAGCUAACUAGGCUGUAACUGACGCUGAGGCACGAAAGCGUGGGGAGCGAACAGG
rnacentral:rRNA from 1 species